GAAGCACUCCAUGAGAAGGAAAAUGAUGAGCAGAAGCAAGAGAGAAAGGGAUGUGAGGAUAAAGAAUGUGGUGGUUUUGGAAGACUUGGGUGCUGAUUACUUGGAGGAACUUCUCACUUCAUCUGAGAAUGCUCGACCUUGGUGAACCAUUAAUUAAUAUUUUGCUUAAUUAUCUUCAUCUAAUCUUUUUGUAAUUUUUUACCCCUUUCUUUCUUUUUCUCCUCCUUUCAGUGGUAGGAAUGAUUAUAUCUAGAAUAUGGUUGUGUAUGAUCUUGAUAUCUUUCUUCUUUAAUCCCUAUAAACUUUGAUUACAGGAGAAAUAAAAGGAUGAAAUGAAAAAAGAAAGAUAUCAAG
rnacentral:misc_RNA from 1 species